AUUAAAGUUGUUGCGUCUAAAAAGCUCGUAGUUUGAAAACUUGCCUUGGCUUACAACAGACGUCUAAGGGCGUCACCGUUUGUCGAGAGCAAAUAUGGGUGACUGUUCUUGCCUUCUUCACUGAUUGGCUCGUAAAAGUCAUCGAAGAUCACUUUGAUUAAAUUAGGGUGCUCAAAGCAAGUGUGCUACUUGAAUAUGAAUGCAUGGAAUGAUGGAAUAUGUUGUUGUUCUAUUUGUUGGUUUUUUGAAUGACGAAAUGAUUGAAAGGAACUGUUGGGGGCAUUCGUAUUGUUGUGAGAGAGGUGAAAUUCUUAGACCAUAGCAAGACGAACUACUGCGAAAGCAUUUGCCAAGAAUGUUUUCAUUGAUCAAGAACGAAAGUUAGAGGUUCGAAGGCGAUCAGAUACCGCCCUAGUUCUAACCAUAAACUAUGCCGACUAGCAAUUUGCUUUGUAUUUUUAUGACUAAGUGAGAGGCCACGGGAAACCAAAGUAGGGUUAUGGGGGAAGUAUGGUUGCAAAGCUGAAACUUAAAGGAAUUGACGGAAGGGCACCACCAGGAGUGGAGCCUGCGGCUUAAUUUGACACAACACGGGAAAACUUACCUGGUCCUGACACUAGAAGGAUUGACAGAUUGAUAGCUCUUUCUUGAUUUGGUGGAUGGUGGUGCAUGGCCGUUCUUAGUUGGUGGAGUGAUUUGUCUGGUUAAUUCCGAUAACGAACGAGACUCUAGCCUAUUAAAUAAUAUGCGGAAUCAAUUUCUCCCGCGUUAUUUCUUAAUGGGAUCAAGCGUGUUUAACGCUUUGAAACAGAGCAAUAACAGGUCUGUGAUGCCCUUAGAUGUUCGGGGCUGCACGCGCGCUACAUUGAAGAACAAAGUGAGCCCUCUGGCUUUUAACAAAGCUAGAAAUCUCUUAAUGUUCUUCUUAAUGGGGAUAGGGGAUUGCAAUUGUGCCCCUUGAACGAGGAAUUCCCAGUAAGUGCUAGUCAUUAGCUAGUACUGAUUACGUCCCUGCCCUUUGUACACACCGCCCGUCGCUACUACCGAUUGAAUAGUUUAGUGAGAUCAUCUGAGUGUUUGUAUGUGCAUUCUGUGCUUGUAUGGUGUACGAAGAAGAUCAAACUUGAUUAUUUAGAGGAAGUAAAAGUCGUAACAAGGUUUCCGUAGGUGAACCUGCGGAAG
rnacentral:rRNA from 1 species